rnacentral:lncRNA from 1 species
GAGCUGCAGUUCAGUUUCAGUUGGGAUGUUUCAUGAGAAGGUAAUGAAGAAAUCAGAGAGAGCAAUGUGAACCGACCUAGGCUCGAGAAAAAGGCAUUGGACAAAUUAUCUUUCCUGUUUUCUGGUUUCAUCUCAUGGAGUUUGUACGAGGGCUGCACUGACUUCCCAAGCAGUCUGCAUGAAAGAACUCAAGGAGACAAGGAAAUUAUUUCCUUUCCUGAGGAAGAAAACGCCCUCUCUGACUCAUACAGCUCAGGGUAGACCAAGAGGCAAUAAAUAAAGAAGUGCUCCAUGCUCACUGAGUAGAUGUGGAACCCUAUAAAUAAUACAAUAAGGGUAGUGAUGAGAGAUGUGCAUGCUGGCAGAUGUGACCUUGGACGCUGAUGUUCUGGGCACCCCGGAGUUGCCUGGCUGCAGAGGAGGAGGACCAAGCGUGAGAGAACAGGCUGUGUUUUACACAACUUUGGACUGUCUUGGGUCACAGGCUCCUACAUGCCUGCAAUCUGCUGGGCGUGUCCACCAUAUCAGGGUGUGCGUAAAAGAUUGCUGCUUGAUAGUCUGUGUGUGUGAAGAGAUCAGAAGCUUGGAGAGUGGUAGGCAAGCAAAAAGAAGUCAAGAGAUGGGUCAGGGCCUCCUCACUGUCUGA